UACGUAGGGAGCAAGCGUUGUUCGGAAUCACUGGGCUUAAAGGGCGCGUAGGCGGGAUGUCAAGUCUGGGGUGAAAUGCCGCGGCUCAACCGUGGAACUGCCUUAGAUACUGACGGCCUCGAGGGAGGUAGGGGCGUGCGGAACUGUAGGUGGAGCGGUGAAAUGCGUUGAUAUCUACAGGAACUCCGGUGGCGAAAGCGGCGCGCUGGACCUCUUCUGACGCUGAGGCGCGAAAGCUAGGGGAGCAAACGGG
rnacentral:rRNA from 1 species